AUACAGAGGGUGCGAGCGUUAAUCGGAAUUACUGGGCGUAAAGCGCGCGUAGGCGGCUUGUUAAGUCGAAUGUGAAAGCCCCGGGCUCAACCUGGGAAUUGCAUCCGAUACUGGCUUGCUAGAGUAUGAUAGAGGGUAGUGGAAUUCCAGGUGUAGCGGUGAAAUGCGUAGAUAUCUGGAGGAACAUCAGUGGCGAAGGCGACUGCCUGGAUCAAUACUGACGCUGAGGUGCGAAAGCGUGGGGAGCAAACAGGAUUAGAAACCCCGGUAGUCC
rnacentral:rRNA from 1 species